rnacentral:lncRNA from 1 species
AGGUAGGAGUGAAUAAUGUCAAUGAAACAUCUGCUUUGCAGCAUACACCCAGCUUGGAGCGCGUGCAAGAUCAGAUAGCGCACAGUGGCAUGCAAAAGCAGAUUGGCCCUGGUGUCAGUCCAUGCGGAAGCAUGCCUGGCUGGGAGCCUGGACUAGCCCAUGCGGCUGCCAAGAACUGGGAGCCUGGACUAGCCCAUGCGGCUGCCAAGAACAAGAAGCAAAGUUGAAUUUUAGAGCCUCUCCUCUUGUUUCCGGAGUUGGUUUUGGAGAAGGUUAGCUGGUGGUACUACUAUUGGUUAAAUCUAUUCAUGGGUAUUGAUUCUCACUGCAUUC